UGGGGAAUAUUGCACAAUUGGCGCAAGCCUGAUGCAGCCAUGCCGCGUGUAUGAAGAAGGCCUUCGGGUUGUAAAGUACUUUCAGUCGGGAGGAAGGUGUCAAGGUUAAUAACCUUGGCAAUUGACGUUACCGACAGAAGAAGCACCGGCUAACUCCGUGCCAGCAGCCGCGGUAAUACGGAGGGUGCAAGCGUUAAUCGGAAUUACUGGGCGUAAAGCGCACGCAGGCGGUUGAUUGAGUCAGAUGUGAAAUCCCCGGGCUUAACCCGGGAAUUGCAUCUGAUACUGGUCAGCUAGAGUCUUGUAGAGUGGGGUAGAAUUCCAUGUGUAGCGGUGAAAUGCGUAGAGAUGUGGAGGAAUACCGGUGGCGAAGGCGGCCCCCUGGACGAAGACUGACGCUCAGGUGCGAAAGCGUGGGGAGCAAACAGG
rnacentral:rRNA from 1 species